AGAGUUUGAUCCUGGCUCAGGAUGAACGCUGGCGGCGUGCUUAACACAUGCAAGUCGAACGAAGCACUUUAGACAGAUUCUUCGGAUGAAGUCCUUAGUGACUGAGUGGCGGACGGGUGAGUAACGCGUGGGUAACCUGCCUCAUACAGGGGGAUAACAGUUAGAAAUGACUGCUAAUACCGCAUAAGACCACGGUACCGCAUGGUACAGUGGUAAAAACUCCGGUGGUAUGAGAUGGACCCGCGUCUGAUUAGGUAGUUGGUGGGGUAACGGCCUACCAAGCCGACGAUCAGUAGCCGACCUGAGAGGGUGACCGGCCACAUUGGGACUGAGACACGGCCCAAACUCCUACGGGAGGCAGCAGUGGGGAAUAUUGCACAAUGGGGGAAACCCUGAUGCAGCGACGCCGCGUGAGCGAAGAAGUAUUUCGGUAUGUAAAGCUCUAUCAGCAGGGAAGAAAAUGACGGUACCUGACUAAGAAGCACCGGCUAAAUACGUGCCAGCAGCCGCGGUAAUACGUAUGGUGCAAGCGUUAUCCGGAUUUACUGGGUGUAAAGGGAGCGUAGACGGCUGUGUAAGUCUGAAGUGAAAGCCCGGGGCUCAACCCCGGGACUGCUUUGGAAACUAUGCAGCUAGAGUGUCGGAGAGGUAAGUGGAAUUCCCAGUGUAGCGGUGAAAUGCGUAGAUAUUGGGAGGAACACCAGUGGCGAAGGCGGCUUACUGGACGAUGACUGACGUUGAGGCUCGAAAGCGUGGGGAGCAAACAGGAUUAGAUACCCUGGUAGUCCACGCC
rnacentral:rRNA from 1 species